rnacentral:misc_RNA from 1 species
AAUUCUCAAAACCUUUUCUUGGGGUUUUGGACUUGGAGGUUCAAUGCUCACUUUCGAGACCCGAAAGUGAGCUCCUCUCAAAUGAAUUAGUGGGGUCUGCUUUGCUGGUCCUUGACGUGAUAAGAUGUUUCGACGUUUUGGACUUGGCACCGUCUCUUGGAUGCCUGCUUCUAACCGUCCGUCUCGUGGACAAUGAUGGUGCUCUGGUCUCCUCCAUCCACAAUGGUGGGAGGCUGGACCCACAAAUAAAAA